rnacentral:sRNA from 2 species
CAUACACAUCGCCUGGGGCUAGGAAGGAGAAUCUAAUCGGGUUUGGAAAGAGAAACUCCUACAGAAUCCACUCCUCAACACUCGGACAUUACAUUCGAAGUGGGAGAUUUCUCUAAGACGCCGCAUUGUCUGAUACUCAGAGUCAGGACAGCCUUUGAAAAGUCGAGGACUUUAGGGAUAGAAUACCGAUCUUGUUUCUAUGGUCGUUGUUGUAAUACUGAAGACCGAAAUAAGAAGAAUACAGGCCGCAUAAUAAUAAUAUUGAUCCAUUGACCAAAGGAUCAAACUAGCAACCUGGA